rnacentral:rRNA from 1 species
CCCUUAGAUGUUCUGGGCCGCACGCGCGCUACACUGAUGCAUUCAACGAGUCUAAAACCUGCUCUGAUAGGGGUGGGUAAUCUUUUGAAUGUGCAUCGUGAUUGGGAUAGAUGAUUGCAAUUUUUCAUCUUCAACGAGGAAUGCCUAGUAAACGCAAGUCAUCAGCUUGCAUUGAUUACGUCCCUGCCCUUUGUACACACCGCCCGUCGCUCCUACCGAUUGAAUGAUCCGAUGAAUAUCAUGGAUUGAGGAUGCAAGCAGGUUCGCCUGUCGUCAUCUUCGAGAAGUGAAGUAAAUCUUAUCAUUUAGAGGAAGGAGAAGUCGUAACA